rnacentral:rRNA from 1 species
CCUACGGGCGGCAGCAGUGGGGAAUAUUGGACAAUGGGCGAAAGCCUGAUCCAGCCAUGCCGCGUGUGUGAAGAAGGCCUUCGGGUUGUAAAGCACUUUCAGUGGGGAAGAAAGCCUUGGGGCUAAUACCCUCGAGGAAGGACAUCACCCACAGAAGAAGCACCGGCUAACUCCGUGCCAGCAGCCGCGGUAAUACGGAGGGUGCGAGCGUUAUCAGGAAUUACUGGGCGUAAAGCGCGCGUAGGCGGUCUGAUAAGCCGGUUGUGAAAGCCCCGGGCUCAACCUGGGAACGGCAUCCGGAACUGUCAGGCUAGAGUGCAGGAGAGGAAGGUAGAAUUCCCGGUGUAGCGGUGAAAUGCGUAGAGAUCGGGAGGAAUACCAGUGGCGAAGGCGGCCUUCUGGACUGACACUGACGCUGAGGUGCGAAAGCGUGGGUAGCAAACAGGAUUAGAUACCCGUGUAGUC